UGCUGAAUUCUUGGUUAAGAAUGAUGCUAGCUACUCUAGGAGAGGACUUUAAAUGAUUAUAGGCUAGUAGUAGUAUGUAAACAGCCUAGAGAUUACAUUAAAAACAGCAUAUAUGUACAUAGGUGUGUAUUUACACUAGUUGCUAGGGAUGAAACCUAGGUUGGAUUAGCUCUAAUUUCUGAGUAGUAGGGAUGUUAUUUCCUGUAUAAGGAAGUUAAACCUUGAGUGCUUGGACUUCUAGAGGUUAUAGUACUAUAGAGAACCUAUAGUAUGUUAUUAGUUGCAUAAUAUGUGUGUAUGUAUAUACAUAUAUGUAUAUAUGUAUAAUGUUAAGAAUGAAAUCUGGAGUAAAGUAGCUUUAAAGAUUGAACAAAGAAAAUGAAUUCCUUGCUGUAGAGAGGUGCUAAACAGGAGUUUCUAGGUUGUAAAGUUAGUAUAGUUAUGUGAUCAGCCUAGAACUAUACAGGGAUAGCAUGUAUUCAUAUAUGUAUAUAUACAAAUGGCUGAUGAUUAGGGAUGGAACCUAAGUUCAAUUGAUUUCGAAUUCUAAAUUAGAAUGAUGUUAAUAAUCCCUGUUUAAAGAAGUUCUUUGCUGUAAAGAAGUAGUAAAGAAGUGGUUGCGUGUAGAUUUAAUUGAGCAGCAGAUCAGGGAAUUGCUGGUUUGGUGGACUUCUGGGCGCCCAAACUGAGAGGAAGCCUAGUGAAGCUUCAAAUCAGGUCGGCGACUCACUAAUUAUGGUAGAAGCCAAUUCAGCUCUAAUUGCAUCGAGUCGCGCGAUAUUGUUCUUGAUACACUUCGAGACGUGAGAUCUUAGUUGUUGACACCACUACAGGUUCCAGCGCGAGCGUUGUGGCCGAGGAUCGCGGCAAGAGCCGAGCAGCCUAGCUAGUGGACACCCGAGUUCUAGUGGUAUACCAUUUUGGUUUCAUAUUGUACGUAAUGAUGAACAGAGAGAUAUGUAAAUGAAAAUGUAAAUGAUGUAAAUAACUAAAUGUUCAGUUAUUCAGUUAUAUAUAGUUCAGUGUUAAACGUUUUAAAUUACA